AUCCAUUCUUUCUCUCUCUCACGAUCAGACACAACAACAACAACAACACAUCUUUCUCUCAUCUUCACCACAUGUCAAGUCCAUCUCAAACCCCAAUCACUCAUGCAAUUCCAAAAUUAAGAUCCUAAAGUCAUAAACUACAAGGUAAUGGGUUUUAAUUUAACUCUUCUCCUUUAAACAUAUCAAGCAACUUCCAAUCCAUCUAACCUCAGCUUCUGUUCUUCAAACAAAACCCCCAAAAUUCAGUUCUUGCAUGCAAUGGGUUUAAGUUCUGAAGUGGUCAUAAGGUUGUAUAGAAUUAGAAUUAGAAAUUGUAGGCCAUGGUACAAGGGAAGCUGAAUUUGAUGCUCUGUGAUUCUAGCUGCAAGAUAAACUAUGGAAUUUAAGAAAUUAUUAUGGAAAAGUGAUUUAGUAACCUUAAUGAACUGUUGUUGUUGCUGUACUGUAGGCUGAUGUUGUUAAAACUGAUUGGUAUGAUUAGAAUGGUUAUGGCUGAAUUCUAUGGAAUUUUAGUUAAAAAUUCGUAUGACAGUACAGGUACUAAUCGAGUCAUAGCUGUCGCUGUGUAGCCCAGACUUGUGUAAUUGUUUGAUUUUCGGAUUCUACACUUAAUUCCCUUCAGUUUGGAUAUAAGUUUGAUAUGUUUUGGAUUAGAAAUGGAUUCGAAAAACGCGUUUGAAGUUUGGAUAUUGAUGCUGGAAACUGCAUACGGGUUUUGGAAUGGAUUUUGCGGAAUAAGCUAAAAUGUGAGUUUAAGUUGGGUGAAUGAUUCCAGAACUGAAUAUGUAUGCUUAAUUGGCUGAGUAAGAGUUUGAUUUGAAGUUGAAAUGAAAAAAUUAGAGGUUGGAAGUCAGUAGCAGUUUUAUGCAGAAAAUCUGUCACGAGUUUGCAUAUGUGAGCAGGACCAUCAGAUGGUUCUAAGCGGGCGAGAUGGCUCGGUAUUGCUAGCAAUUUCAGGUGGGUUCCCUUAGAAGCUCAACCUUUAUGUAUAGUUAGUACCUUUAGUUUCCCCAAAAUAUGUGCAUGACAACAUUAGUCUAGGUAGGAUAUUAGUUUCCCCGAAUUAUGAAUGUAUGAUAACUUUAAGGAAUUUAGGAUCAAUUAGUGUAUGAGAGGAGGUUAAUCCCAACACUUCUCUCCAUUCUGAUUAUUUAAUAUGUUACAGUAUCCAUAGCUAGUAGUAAAGGGGAUUGUAGGUGAAUUCUAUGUUAAAUUUUAUGGGAAACGCAUAACAGAGUAAUGAACUGAUAUUCUUGCUAAGCGAGUAGUGGUCUCGCUAAGUGAAUGUAUCAGGUCGGUACACUGUGUAAUGCAGAAAAUUCAGAUUUUAUCACUCGUUUUAUAUCCCUGAUAUUCUGGAUUGUUCUAUGAAUACUGAUAGUGAAUUAAAUAAAUAGAAUGUUAAUUACACGUUAAGUUAUGAUAGUCAAGAAAUCUGGACAAGUUAGAAAUACCCUGGGAGGGAAUUCAUGGGCAGGAUAACAAUCAGGAUUAUUAAGUUAAGAAAGUCAAUCAAUUAUGGUGGUUACUUAUGUACCACGUUAUGGGAUUCAUUAGAAUCCAAUCAUGUUAUGAUUGUGAGCUUCAGCCGUGUCGAUGUACAUUAUUAUCGCAGACGGACAUGUCAGGCCUCUGAGACCGGCUCACCUCAGAGUGUCUUUGUUAUGAAUAAAACGAACAAGAUAAAUGAUUUAUGUUACACCUUUAUGUAUUAUGUUAUGAAAUUAUGUUAUAUAAAUCAUGUUUAGAGAUUGACUAUUAGAUCAGAGAACUAUUAGUUCAUCAGUUGCCCCCGGUGUAGACACCAAUAGUAAUUGGGUAGUAGGAAUCCACUGAGACGAAGUGACUGUCUCAUCCCCCACUUAUUUGAUUUCAGAUAAUCAGGUUGAUCAAGAUAUCAUGGUCUACAAGCAUGGAGUUCAGAUACUUGGAUUAUGCUAGUUGAGCUGACGUCAUGUUAUCUUAUAUUUGUAUAAGAUUUAGCUUCUUUAUGUUUUCAGUUGUUAGCUCAAUUUAGUAUUAAUCUCUUGGAUUUUGUAAUCCUAUUUAUGUAUUCGGACAAUAUGUAAUGAAAACUUAAUGUUUCCCGAUUCAGUUAUGUACACUCUUAUCGAUAUUCUAGAUAAAUUGACAUGGGGUGUUAUAAUUGGUAUCAGAGCAGGUCGAUUCAGUAUCAGAUCUUGCCGCGGAUCAUUAAAGUUCAAUAAAAGUAGUACGGACCCUUUGGAGUUUGAACUGUUUACGCUGAAAUCAUCGCGUGUUGAGUCUGAUCAACUCAGUAUCGUGUAUGGUAGGCAGGGUAUUACGGUUGAGAACCGAAGUGGACCAAGGAGGUCGAGUAGUAAGAACGAAGUAGAAGUGCGAACUCAGAAGGGAGUAUGAACGAAGAUUGUUAGAAGCUAAUAUUGGAACUGCAGCAGUCGAUGCCACAAGAGUAAGUUGAGUAACGCCAACAAGUGGCGCUUAGAAUUGAGAAAAUUAUGUGGCGUAAUACCAGUAGUAAGAGGCAUGUCAAGAGAUGUACGAACCAGACGCGCUCAACUGACGGUAGCAGGUUUAAGGAUAUGGAGAAUUCUGGGAAUGGUAAACCCAGUAUCAAAGUAAGUUUUGACCGGAGUAGAACCGAGACUGUGUAUUGAAGUACGAUACCGGAUAAUUGUAAUAGAUAAGGAGUGAAGUGUUGCAGACAUGUUAGAUUGUGGUGAAGUAUUAUGUAUGCAGUGGUGCGUUGGAUGUCACUAAGUGAUGCGAGUAUUACUUUGUAAUGUCUACGGUACAAGAAGUAAUAACAAUAUGAGUAACGCCGGAUAAGAUGAGACAAUGUGUGACAUUGCCCAGGAAUUGUAGACCGAGGCUGUAAUGACGCAGUCAGAAGAUACUGGUAAAAAGUUGAGAUCAGAGUGCGCAGCAAGUAAUGGCGGAGAAUGUAGUCAGCAGGUUGGUCUUUAGGCCAACAACCAUUUGAGAAGAAGAAAGUUUUAUUCCAAGGAAUUGGAUGUGGAAGACGUUAAGAUGAUUAAAGAUCGUAUGAUGAGUAAGUUACGCAAAUAUUCAUGUUUGGACCUGAGAUUGUUAGUAUAGAAUACCCUUGAGAGCAAAGAUUGUGAAGGUAAAACGGUUCACUUAAGUAGUUUGACGCGGGGAACUAGUAAGAUUAAGUAUGCUCCGACGUUGAAUUGAAAAGUGCAAAAGAAGAAAAGUUGUGCUGUGAGCAUUUAAGUUGAGGAAAAGAAACAGAGAGAGCUAAUAUAAGAUGAGCGUGUACCUAAAAGUUGUAUUAUGGGCUGAGAUUGGAAGUUCAAUAUCAUGAAAUGAACAAGUAGAAUUUUCAAAGGUAACGUAAGCAAGUGCUAACGCAGUGAAGAGUGAUAAUUAGUAACCCAUUGAACGACGAAUCAUGGUCGGUUACGAAAUGAAGCUAGAAUCUAAACGAGGCAUAAGCAGUAUACGCUGAGAAUGAAUGAAGAAGUUCUUGAAUUUCGCGGACGAAAUUCUUUUAACGGGGAUAGAUUGUAACAUCCAAAUUCAAUUAAUAGAGAAAUAGUAAUUAGAGAGAAUUAUUAGAGACCAUACGGGAAUAUGUGAACAAAUAUAAAGGGAUAAUUAAAGGAUACAAGUACACUUUGGUGUUAAGUGGAGGGACAAAUUUGUAAUCAAACAUAUAAUGCAUGCCAUAGAGGUUAUAAAAGGAUAAGUGUUGUGGACCCAUUGAGAUAUCCAUUCUUUCUCUCUCUCACGAUCAGACACAACAACAACAACAACACAUCUUUCUCUCAUCUUCACCACAUGUCAAGUCCAUCUCAAACCCCAAUCACUCAUGCAAUUCCAAAAUUAAGAUCCUAAAGUCAUAAACUACAAGGUAAUGGGUUUUAAUUUAACUCUUCUCCUUUAAACAUAUCAAGCAACUUCCAAUCCAUCUAACCUCAGCUUCUGUUCUUCAAACAAAACCCCCAAAAUUCAGUUCUUGCAUGCAAUGGGUUUAAGUUCUGAAGUGGUCAUAAGGUUGUAUAGAAUUAGAAUUAGAAAUUGUAGGCCAUGGUACAAGGGAAGCUGAAUUUGAUGCUCUGUGAUUCUAGCUGCAAGAUAAACUAUGGAAUUUAAGAAAUUAUUAUGGAAAAGUGAUUUAGUAACCUUAAUGAACUGUUGUUGUUGCUGUACUGUAGGCUGAUGUUGUUAAAACUGAUUGGUAUGAUUAGAAUGGUUAUGGCUGAAUUCUAUGGAAUUUUAGUUAAAAAUUCGUAUGACAGUACAGGUACUAAUCGAGUCAUAGCUGUCGCUGUGUAGCCCAGACUUGUGUAAUUGUUUGAUUUUCGGAUUCUACACUUAAUUCCCUUCAGUUUGGAUAUAAGUUUGAUAUGUUUUGGAUUAGAAAUGGAUUCGAAAAACGCGUUUGAAGUUUGGAUAUUGAUGCUGGAAACUGCAUACGGGUUUUGGAAUGGAUUUUGCGGAAUAAGCUAAAAUGUGAGUUUAAGUUGGGUGAAUGAUUCCAGAACUGAAUAUGUAUGCUUAAUUGGCUGAGUAAGAGUUUGAUUUGAAGUUGAAAUGAAAAAAUUAGAGGUUGGAAGUCAGUAGCAGUUUUAUGCAGAAAAUCUGUCACGAGUUUGCAUAUGUGAGCAGGACCAUCAGAUGGUUCUAAGCGGGCGAGAUGGCUCGGUAUUGCUAGCAAUUUCAGAUAAACAGGUUGAUCAAGAUAUCAUGGUCUACAAGCAUGGAGUUCAGAUACUUGGAUUAUGCUAGUUGAGCUGACGUCAUGUUAUCUUAUAUUUGUAUAAGAUUUAGCUUCUUUAUGUUUUCAGUUGUUAGCUCAAUUUAGUAUUAAUCUCUUGGAUUUUGUAAUCCUAUUUAUGUAUUCGGACAAUAUGUAAUGAAAACUUAAUGUUUCCCGAUUCAGUUA